rnacentral:rRNA from 1 species
UACAGAGGGUGCGAGCGUUGUUCGGAAUUAUUGGGCGUAAAGGGCGCGUAGGCGGUGCGGUAAGUCACCUGUGAAAUCUCCUGGCUCAACUGGGAGCUUGCAGGCGAAACUGCCGUGCUGGAGUGUGGGAGAGGUGCGUGGAAUUCCUGGUGUAGCGGUGAAAUGCGUAGAUAUCAGGAGGAACACCUGUGGCGAAAGCGGCGCACUGGACUGGCACUGACGCUGAGGAGCGAAAGCGUGGGGAGCGAACAGG